UUGGAAGAAUACAGUGUCCCAUUUCAUACUCUCUACAACUUUAUGUACAGUAGAGUCUCACUUAUCCAAGCUAAACAGGCCGGCAGAACCUUGGAUAAGUGAAUAUUUUGGAUAAUAAGGAGGAAUUAAGGAAAUGCCUAUUAAACGUCAAAUUAGGUUAUGAUUUUACAAAUUAAACAUCUAAACAUCAUGUUAUACCACAAAUUUGACAGAAAAAGUAGUUCAAUACACAGUAAUGCUAUGUAGUAAUUACUGUAUUUACGAAUUUAGCACCAAAAUAUCAUGAUAUAUUGAAAACAUUGACUACAAAAAUGCCUUGGAUAAUCCAGAACCUUGGAUAAGCGAGUCUUGGAUAAGUGAGACUCUACUGUACUUCUUCUAAAGUAUCCCAUUUCACCCACUCUAGAACUUUAUGUACUUCUUCCAAAGUGCCCUAUUUCAACCUCUCAAUAACUUUAUUUAGUUCUCCCAAAGUGCUCCAUUUCAUACUUUCAAGAAUUUGGUCUACUUCUUCUAUCUUAAGUGUCUUCCACUCAGGAAACCAAUGACUUGAGAGCCAUAUUUUCAUUAUCCCUUUCCAAUUCUGACCUAUCUGCUGCAGGAUCAAUCCCAGGUGGUUUCACAUUCAUCAUUAUUAAUGGUGGUUGGGGUGUGAACUGGUUGAGCUGCACAUCUCUACAUAUUUGCAAUGAGAUUUAAUAGCAUUCCCAGUUUGCACUCUUAGCUUCUGUCCAGUUCACAAACAUAUGGCAACCCUAUCUAAGAGUUCUUUUGGACACGUUUAUUCAGAAGACUUUCUCCAUUACCUUCUUCUUAGGAUGAGAAAAUGGACUUGGCCAUUCUGAGUUGGUUUCCAUGUCUUAACAGGGAUGUGAGCCGAUAGUCCAGUACUCAACCUCUUACACCAUAUUGUCUCCUAGCUCCAACACUGUUUAGGUUAACUCACCCUUUACUACACUGAUUUGACUUGGGUUGAGGCCAGCUAAAAGUGUUGGUACUUUGUUCUGGUGGAGAGCAUCAAGAAAUGCCAAAUCCUGAAGACGAGAUCUUUUGGAGUCUGCACAUAUCUUGAUUCCCAUCUGCCUUUUCCUUGUCUCUCCAGAGGGUUUGCCACACAAGAAACAGCCCAAAGGCCUCUCCGGAGGAGCCAUUGCUGGGAUUUUUGUGAUUUGCGUCGUUUUUGCCUCCGCCGUUGCUAUCGUCACCUCCUACAAAAUCAUCGCCAGUUCAAUGGGGCGCAACAACGAGCUGUCUUAAUCCAGAAUAUUGCCAAACUGGGAAGGAGCGCCAACCAGGCCCAUCUUUCGUCCAGGAGAGAAGCUGCGUCCAUAUGGAAGCCAUGACGAAAUGGUUCCGGGCAUUUGGUCCAGUACCUAAAUCUAUCCAGAACCCCAAAACAAAACCUGAUUUAUCCCCAUGUUCAAAAAAAAUACAUGCUUUAAGACAUAGUCCUUUCUCUGUGUUUACUCUUUUUGGAAGGGAUUAGACGGAAAGUGGGGUAUUAAUAAUGACACCAACUAUGAUUGGGAUUAAUAUAAUCAUGUCUUUUUGCCUGUCCUAAUAUUGAAGUCCAUGUAGGUACAGUAAAACCAUACAUCUAUGAUAACAUAUAACGUUCCUAGCCAGAUUGUGUUUACCUAAAAUCAUAGAUAUGAGUAUAACACUAUUCUAUUACCAAACCUAUGGGUCCAGAACAGGGGCGGCUCAGGCUAUAUGCAAACUAAGCAUUUGCAAUUAUUAACUAGCCAGAUAUCCUUUUUGGGAAUUUGCUAGGUCCUGUAGCACAACUUUAUAGUAACAUCCAGGGGAAGCAUACCAUAGAGUUGCCUGGAGGACCAUUCUGUGGCAUUAAAAUGUAAUUAAAUCAGGAUAGGUUAAGGGUUUUCCCCUGACAUUCAGUCUAGUCAUGUCUGGGAGUUGGUGCUCAUCUCCAUUUCGAAACCAAAGAGCCGGUAUUGUCCGUAGACACCUCCAAGGUCAUGUGGCCACUGCAGGACUGCAUGGAGCACCGUUACCUUCUCAUCGGAGCAGUACCUAUUGAUGUACUCACAUUUGCAUGUUUUUGAACUGCUAGGUUGUCAGAAGCUGGGGCCAACAGUGGGAGCUCACCCCGCUCUCCGGUUUCAAAUCGCCAACCUUUCGGUCAGCAAGUUCUGCAGCUCAGCUGUUUAACUUGCUGUGCCACCAGGGGCUCCAAAUCAGGAGAUACACACACACACACACACAUAUAUAUAUAUAUACCUAUACUGUACAUAUACAUAUGUGUGUGUGUGUGUAUGUGUGUGUAUGUAUGUAUAUAUAUAUAUAUAUAUAUAUGGAAAGGUUAAUAAAUCAAGAUAUAGACUUGGCCCAAAUGUCAUGGUGGAAUGAGGUCAAAUGGGGAUUUGGCUUCUAGACUCUCCGUAGUCUAGAACCCAAAUUAGAUCUAAGCACAUUAUUUAUUUAUUUAUUUAUUUAUUUAUUUAUUUAUUUAUUUAUGCCUCCA
rnacentral:lncRNA from 1 species